AUUGAACGCUGGCGGCAGGCCUAACACAUGCAAGUCGAGCGAGCGGCGGACGGGUGAGUAAUGUCUGGGAAACUGCCUGAUGGAGGGGGAUAACUACUGGAAAAGGUAGCUAAUACCGCAUACCAUGAGAUGUGCCCAGAUGGGAUUAGCUGGUGGGGGGGGUAACGGCUUACCUAGGCGAAGAUCCAUAGCUGGUCUGCGAGGAUGACCAGCCACACUGGAACUGAGACACGGUCCAGACUCCUACGGGAGGCAGCAGUGGGGAAUAUUGUACAAUGGGCGAAAGCCUGAUGCAGCCAUGCCGCGUGAGUGAAGAAGGCCUUCGGGUUGUAAAGCACUUUCAGCGGGGAGGCGUUACCCACAGAAGAAGCACCGGCUAACUCCGUGCCAGCCGCCGCGGUAAUAC
rnacentral:rRNA from 1 species